rnacentral:rRNA from 1 species
UAGAGUUUGAUCAUGGCUCAGAUUGAACGCUAGCGGGAUGCCUUACACAUGCAAGUCGAACGGCAGCACGGACUUCGGUCUGGUGGCGAGUGGCGAACGGGUGAGUAAUGUAUCGGAACGUGCCUAGUAGCGGGGGAUAACUACGCGAAAGCGUAGCUAAUACCGCAUACGCCCUACGGGGGAAAGCAGGGGAUCGCAAGACCUUGCACUAUUAGAGCGGCCGAUAUCGGAUUAGCUAGUUGGUGGGGUAACGGCUCACCAAGGCGACGAUCCGUAGCUGGUUUGAGAGGACGACCAGCCACACUGGGACUGAGACACGGCCCAGACUCCUACGGGAGGCAGCAGUGGGGAAUUUUGGACAAUGGGGGAAACCCUGAUCCAGCCAUCCCGCGUGUGCGAUGAAGGCCUUCGGGUUGUAAAGCACUUUUGGCAGGAAAGAAACGUCAUGGGCUAAUACCCCGUGAAACUGACGGUACCUGCAGAAUAAGCACCGGCUAACUACGUGCCAGCAGCCGCGGUAAUACGUAGGGUGCAAGCGUUAAUCGGAAUUACUGGGCGUAAAGCGUGCGCAGGCGGUUCGGAAAGAAAGAUGUGAAAUCCCAGAGCUUAACUUUGGAACUGCAUUUUUAACUACCGAGCUAGAGUGUGUCAGAGGGAGGUGGAAUUCCGCGUGUAGCAGUGAAAUGCGUAGAUAUGCGGAGGAACACCGAUGGCGAAGGCAGCCUCCUGGGAUAACACUGACGCUCAUGCACGAAAGCGUGGGAAGCAAACAGGAUUAGAUACCCUGGUAGUCCACGCCCUAAACGAUGUCAACUAGCUGUUGGGGCCUUCGGGCCUUGGUAGCGCAGCUAACGCGUGAAGUUGACCGCCUGGGGAGUACGGUCGCAAGAUUAAAACUCAAAGGAAUUGACGGGGACCCGCACAAGCGGUGGAUGAUGUGGAUUAAUUCGAUGCAACGCGAAAAACCUUACCUACCCUUGACAUGUCUGGAAUUCCGAAGAGAUUUGGAAGUGCUCGCAAGAGAACCGGAACACAGGUGCUGCAUGGCUGUCGUCAGCUCGUGUCGUGAGAUGUUGGGUUAAGUCCCGCAACGAGCGCAACCCUUGUCAUUAGUUGCUACGAAAGGGCACUCUAAUGAGACUGCCGGUGACAAACCGGAGGAAGGUGGGGAUGACGUCAAGUCCUCAUGGCCCUUAUGGGUAGGGCUUCACACGUCAUACAAUGGUCGGGACAGAGGGUCGCCAACCCGCGAGGGGGAGCCAAUCCCAGAAACCCGAUCGUAGUCCGGAUCGCAGUCUGCAACUCGACUGCGUGAAGUCGGAACCGCUAGUAAUCGCGGAUCAGCAUGUCGCGGUGAAUACGUUCCCGGGUCUUGUACACACCGCCCGUCACACCAUGGGAGUGGGUUUUACCAGAAGUAGUUAGCCUAACCGUAAGGGGGGCGAUUACCACGGUAGGAUUCAUGACUGGGGUGAAGUCGUAACAAGGUAGCCG